UAUAAAAUACAUGAAAUAUGUUCUCUUUAUAUUAAUAAUUUGAAAAUUAAAUUAUAUUUAGACCAAGGUAUAUCUUAAGCUUAAACAUAUUUUCUUUUAUUUAUUUAUUUAUUUAUUUGAAAGUCAGAGUUACAGAUAGGGAGAGAGAUCAUCCACCUGCUGUUUUACUCUGCAGAUGGCUAUAGUAGCCAGGGUUGGGCCAGGCCAAAGCCAGGAGCCAAGAACUUCAUCCAGGUCUCCCACUUGGGUGUCAGUGGCUCAAGUAAUCAGGCGGGCCCUCUUUUGAUGCUUUCUUCUGCUGCUCCAUUAGGAGGGAGCUGGAUGAGAAGUCGAACAAUGGGACAUGAAUGCACACCCACAUAAAAUUCUGGUGUCACAGGCAGUAGCUUUACCCACUAUGCCCCAGUGCUGGCCCCAACAUACUCACUUUAUAAGUUAAAGACUAAGACCUCGGCCACCACCCUUUUCCAAGGGGAGAAAAUUGUAAGAUUAUCUGGGAGGAAAAUUCACAAAUUAGCUGAUGUUGCUUUUUCCAUUCCUCAUUUUCAAGAUCAGAUAAUCACAAACAAAACCAGAAGUAUAAUCCAUUUGGCCAUGACUAACCCAAUUUGUAAAAUACAAUGGACAGAGACAGAAGAGUGGAAAAGUUGUGGUGAAUCAUCUAAACUCCUUUGUAAUUUACCAAUUUAUUCAAAAUGGUAAAGGAUUCCAGUUCAUAAAUGACCAACUGUCUGUUUCAGCGGAUGAAGUAAGGAUGAAUGUGGCAGGCAAUCAUUAUCUCCUAACAUCCCUACGCUAGGUCUGAUUUGAUGAUUUCCAGCCAGAGGAUGUUUUCAUGAAUAAUCCAGGAAAUGCUCUGCACAGCAGCCUCCUCACUACCUGAAAAAAUGAGCUUUUACUUUGAACACCACACAGAUACAGUGAGUGGGUGGAAAAUGAGCAAAAUGAUAAAAAAGUGCCAUGCAUACCAGAUUGAAGAGAAAUGCUUGCAGACUGCAGAUGUGCUGUGGCAUGAGCACCCCCUCGGCGCACACUCAGAGUGAGCAGACUGCUGAUCUUACAGAUCACCCCUUGCACCAUCCUGACAGAAACUGUAUACACUGUGGAUAUCACCCUAUCUGAUCCAUACCCUUGAUGAAAGUAAUUUUAUAAAUACA
rnacentral:lncRNA from 1 species